AGGUCAGUGAGAGAGCAUAUGCCCUGGUAGAUUCCUGAGUAAAGGAGCAGGAGGAUGAGAGGUUCAAUGUUUUACACAUGGCUGGUCUGAUAUCUCAGCUUCAUUCACAGUCAUAGGGAGUUUACGCAGCUGGGAUGGAUGUAUAAUACAAAUUGUCACCAGAUGCUUUUAACUGGUUAGAUGCCAUCAGUUGAAUAAGCUUCUCUUCUGCAUCCCCAUCCCCAGAGACCGGGCUGCAGUGUGUCCUGGGCUUUGGAAUUACUGUAAGAUUCUCAAGUGAUUUUACUGUGCAAGCAGCUUUGGCAACCAUUGUCUAAAAAGAGAAAAACCACAAAAUGCCUUUCUUUGUCUCAUGAAGAGAAAUUCUCCCCUCCUCUGAUGUCUUGGCCUUUGAACUGAAUGGGACUACCUCUUCCAUCCUACUCCAGAGACACACCAAGACCUUCUUCUAUUUUGACACAGGAAUUUUUUCCUCGG
rnacentral:lncRNA from 1 species